CCUACGGGUGGCAGCAGUAGGGAAUAUUGCUCAAUGGGGGAAACCCUGAAGCAGCAACGCCGCGUGGAGGAUGAAGGUUUUCGGAUUGUAAACUCCUUUUGUUAGAGAAGAUAAUGACGGUAUCUAACGAAUAAGCACCUGCUAACUCCGUGCCAACAGCCGCGGUAAUACGGAGGGUGCAAGCGUUACUCGGAAUCACUGGGCGUAAAGAGCGCGUAGGCGGGAUAGCAAGUCAGAUGUGAAAUCCUAUGGCUUAACCAUAGAACUGCAUUUGAAACUGUGAUUCUAGAGUAUGGGAGAGGUAGGUGGAAUGCUUGGUGUAGGGGUAAAAUGCGUAGAGAUCAAGAGGAAUACUGAUUGCGAAGGCGACCUGCUAGAACAUAACUGACGCUGAUGCGCGAAAGCGUGGGGAGCAAACAGGAUUAGAUACCCGUGUAGUC
rnacentral:rRNA from 1 species